rnacentral:rRNA from 1 species
AUUGAACGCUGGCGGCAUGCUUUACACAUGCAAGUCGAACGGUAACAGGCCUUCGGGUGCUGACGAGUGGCGAACGGGUGAGUAAUGCAUCGGAACGUACCCAGAGGUGGGGGAUAACGCAGCGAAAGCUGUGCUAAUACCGCAUGUGAUCUGAGGAUGAAAGCGGGGGACCGAGCAGCAAUGUUUGGCCUCGCGCCUUUGGAGCGGCCGAUGUCGGAUUAGCUAGUUGGUGGGGUAAAGGCCUACCAAGGCGACGAUCCGUAGCUGGUCUGAGAGGACGACCAGCCACACUGGGACUGAGGCACGGCCCAGACUCCUACGGGAGGCAGCAGUGGGGAAUUUUGGACAAUGGGCGCAAGCCUGAUCCAGCAAUGCCGCGUGCGGGAAGAAGGCCUUCGGGUUGUAAACCGCUUUUGGCAGGAACGAAGCGGUGUCCGCUAAUACCGGGCGCUAAUGACGGUACCUGCAGAAUAAGCACCGGCUAACUACGUG